UCCUACUGUAUUUUCCACUGCAUGCAUGUGAUGAAAUGGGCUUUAGCCGAUGAAAGCUUAUGCUCAAAUAAAUGUGUUAGUCUCUAAGGUGCCACAGGUACUCCUUCAUUUUGACGUAAGAGUGGCUAUCCUUCAACAAAAAAGCUUCAAAAACAGACU